UCAAGCAAGAGGUGUGCCUGCCCAGAUUUACCCCUGCAGGGCAACCUGACUUGAAAGAGUUUGGGUUUGGUGCAGUUCCUGCUCAUCACAUACAGGAGGAAGCAGUGGCAGAAACACUGGAUGGGGCCUAAGAGAUUAUGAGGAUUACUAUCCUGCGAUCACAAGUAGGGCCUCUGAGUCCACGAGGCAGGCCUUUGGCUCCCACAGGGUACAAGUGGACCCAAUUGUCCACUCUUCCUGUCUUGUCUCUACCAUAGGGAUCUCCUGUGAUAGGAAGCUGCAUGGAGUUCUGGGCACACCCAAGCCAGGCCUGCUCAUAGUGCUCAUCAUGUUCACUGAGGGCACCUGCGUCUGUGUGGAGAUAGUCUGGCGUGGGAUAUGUACUGUGGGGCUGGAUUUCAAGAGGGUCCUUUCCAUGUGGAGAGCUCAGGAGUCUCACUACUGGGAAUUUUGUGCAGGAAGGGUACCCGGCAUACAUCCAGGUCCCUGACAGGGAUGCUCCUAGCCAAGAGUUUCUGUGGGGCACAUGGGCACAAACCCAAAUGACCAAAGUGAAAAUCUUGGAAUUUUUUGCCAACACAACUGGGAGUAAUCCUAGAGGCUAUCCCUUCAGGUAUGGAGAUGCUUUGAGAGAUCAGACAAAGAGAACCUGGAUCAGGUUCGCCCAGCAGGUGGUACUUGUGCUCUGA
rnacentral:lncRNA from 1 species